rnacentral:rRNA from 1 species
CCAUGGAAGCUGUGAGCGCCCGAAGUCCGUGUCGGAACCUGUGCAAACAGGACCAAGCGGCCGAAGGCGAGCGCAGUGACUGGGGCG